AUACGGAGGGGGCUAGCGUUGUUCGGAAUUACGGGGCGUAAAGCGUACGUAGGCGGACUGAUCAGUUGGGGGUGAAAUCCCAGGGCUUAACCCUGGAACUGCCUUCAAUACUGUCAGUCUUGAGUUUGGGAGAGGUGAGUGGAAUUCCUAGUGUAGAGGUGAAAUUCAUAGAUAUUAGGAGGAACACCAGUGGCGAAGGCGGCUCAUUGGCCCAUUACUGACGCUGAGGUACGAAAGCGUGGGGAGCAAACAGGAUUAGAUACCCUAGUAGUCC
rnacentral:rRNA from 1 species